GUUGGGAUUUCUUCAUCCUUUUCAGCAGGUUUUUUUUUUUUUUUUCUAGCAUUAAUGAGGAAAAAUUGAGGAGUUUUCUGAUGGUAUUCCCAAGUGACAAAAAUAUAUACCCAAGACCUCACACUACAGAAGGAAGAAACAGAAAAUAAUUAUUUCAUUAUAACUCCUGCCUCAAAAAUACCAGGGUUGCACUUGAGGAAACAACCUUGCGAGGUGGGUGAAUCAUGCAGAGAAUAAGGGGUGACUGUGAACCAGUGAGAGAGGUCCUCAGGAGCUGAGUCCCAAGCAGCUGUGAGGAACUUCCCAAUGGCAUCCACAAAGCAGGUCCUGGUUUGAGACCUCGUGGAAGAAAUACGCGUAGAAGAACACAGACGUAAAGCUGCUGAUUUACCUAAGAUCUAUUCCUAUAGUCUGAGGUUGAGCAGAGUCAGGUUUCAGGGGAUAUUAGAGUGUUGUGGCCCAGACUGGACUUCAAUUUCCCCUUGAUAAUUAUGCAUUCAUGUGUGUGUGUGUGUGUGCAUGCGUACAUGUGUUUGAAGACUUCACAAAUUAUAUCCAAUAACGAGGCUGAUUAUCAGAAUCACUUAAGGAGCUUUUAAAAAUACAGAUGCCCAAACUUACCCACCCUGAGACCCAGGAAUCUGUACUUGUAAAACAGGUGUCCAUCUAAGUGACUGAUUAUUAAUUCUGGUUAGAACCACUGUUCUAAUAUCCAUUCCUCACCCCACUCUCACCACUUCUCUGCUGGCUCUC